AGCUUUUCGAAUCCGUGCUGAGAUUUCGUCAGACACCAACCCAUUUGGGCUGAUUAGACUCCCAAGAUGAGUGAAGUU
rfam:Schistosoma haematobium scaffold584_15, whole genome shotgun sequence.